AAUGAACGUUGGCGGCGUGGAUUAGGCAUGCAAGUCGUGCGGAAAGGCUCCUUCGGGAGUACUCGAGCGGCGUAAGGGAGAGUAACGCGUGGAUAUCUACCCCCUGGACUGGGAUAGCGGCGGGAAACUGCCGGUAAUACCAGAUAAUGUCUGCGGACCAAAGGUGUGAUUCCGCCGGGGGAUGAGUUCGCGUCCUAUUAGCUAGUUGGUAGGGUAAUGGCCUACCAAGGCAAAGAUGGGUACCGGGUGUGAGGGCAUGGCCCGGCUCACUGGGACUGGGACACUGCCCAGACACCUACGGGUGGCUGCAGGCGAGAAUCUUCGGCAAUGGGCGCAAGCCUGACCGAGCGACGCCGCGUGCGGGAUGAAGGCCUUCGGGUUGUAAACCGCUGUCAGAGGGGAGGAAAUGCGUGAGAGUUCUCUCUCACGUUUGACCUAUCCUCAGAGGAAGUACGGGCUAAGUUCGUGCCAGCCGCCGCGGUAAAAC
rnacentral:rRNA from 1 species